GAUGAACGCUGGCGGCGUGCCUAGUACAUGCAAGUCGAGCGAAUGGAUUAAGAGCUUGCUCUUAUGAAGUUAGCGGCGGACGGGUGAGUAACACGUGGGUAACCUGCCCAUAAGACUGGGAUAACUCCGGGAAACCGGGGCUAAUACCGGAUAACAUUUUGAACCGCAUGGUUCGAAAUUGAAAGGCGGCUUCGGCUGUCACUUAUGGAUGGACCCGCGUCGCAUUAGCUAGUUGGUGAGGUAACGGCUCACCAAGGCAACGAUGCGUAGCCGACCUGAGAGGGUGAUCGGCCACACUGGGAAUGAGACACGGCCCAGACUCCUACGGGAGGCAGCAGUAGGGUAUCUUCCGCAAUGGACGAAAGGAUGACUGAGCAACGCCGCGUGAGUGAUGAAGGCGUUCGGGUCGUAAAACUCUGUUGUUAGGGAAGAACAAGUGCGAGUUGAAUAAGCUGGCACCUUGACGGUACCUAACCAGAAAGCCACGGCUAACUACGUGCCAGCCGCCGCGGUAA
rnacentral:rRNA from 1 species